CACAAUACAGCCAAGUUUGAUCCAAUUGAACAGAAGUCCCUUAGCACUGGUCCUUGUAAUAAAUGAUGAGAUGGAUUGACAACUGGAAUUAUCCCUAUUAUGGGUUGAAUGAUGCACUCCCAAAAGCUAUACUGAAGUCCUAAUCCUCAAUAUCUCAGAAUGAGAAGUUACUUGGAAAUAGAGUGGUUGCAGAUGUAAUUAGUCAAGAUGAGGUUACACUGGAGUAAGGUGAACCCUUAAUUCAAUAUGAGUGGCGCCCUUUUAAGAAGAGGACACAGAGACACACAGGAGAAUGCCAUGUGAUGACAGACAGAGCUUGGCAUGAUGCAGCUACAAGCCAAGGAACACGAAGGGUUGACAGCCAACACUAAAAGCUAGGAAGAGGCAAGGAAGGAUUCUUCUCUACAGAUUUUAGAGGGAGCAUGGCCCUCUUGACACUUUUGUAUUGGACUUCCAUCUUCUAAAACUGAAAGAAUGAAUUUCUAUCGUUUUAAGCCACCUAGUUGGUAGUAUAUUGUUCUGGAUGCCUCAGAAAACUAAUAAAAUCCCCUAUUUCUGGUCAGUAUGCUGAGGUUUGAAAAAGUUUAAUUGGCAAAUGUUAAUUGCCAAGAGCCUACUAUGUGCUGGGUGGUCUUCUAGGCCUUGGGUAUUCAGUUCUAAACCAAACAAAGUUAAAAUUGUACUCCGGGGCACAUGGCUUUUUAGAGACAAGUAAUAUGAAACCCCAGUCUCUAGGCUUCCAGAUCAGCAUUUCAGUUUUGGUUUAUUUCAAUUAUGUCCUCUCUAAGUAAGGAGUGACUCUAAUAUUGACAGUGCUUAUACUGACCAUGAAUGUGCCUGAGUCACAGACAUCUCAGUGAACUCCUUACUAAUGAACUUAUAUUUCCCCACAGAUACCUUACAUGUAUCAUUACAGCCUUUCUAGGCCUAAGAAUGGACACCCUUUCUCUUUUCCUUGACCCAGAAUUUGGGUUACAAAUAAUCCAAUGGGAGAGCAGCUAUUGAUGAUGGGGCAUUUCGGAACAGAGGGAGGAAAAGGGGAAUUCCAGAUUGCUACAAGAUUUCUAAUUGUGGGAUGGGUAUUUAAAGCCCUGUGAAAGGUUGGAAGUCACUGGCUAAGGAACUUCUGCAGAAUAGUCUCUUUGGAGCACCUGAACUUACUCUUCCAGGUAUGGGGAAGAACAGAUAAGGGCAGAGUGUGACCUGACUGCACCCCUCCACUACCCUGUCCCCUGAAAAACUACAGAGAUCAAAAUUUG
rnacentral:lncRNA from 10 species